UACGGGGGGAGCAAGCGUUGUUCGGAUUUACUGGGCGUAAAGGGCGCGUAGGCGGUCGUGACAAGUCACUUGUGAAAUCUCCGGGCUUAACCCGGAGCGGUCAAGUGAUACUGUCGGACUAGAGUACAGAAGGGGCAACUGGAAUUCUCGGUGUAGCGGUGAAAUGCGUAGAUAUCAAGAGGAACACCUGCGGCGAAGGCGGGUUGCUGGGCUGAUACUGACGCUGAGGCGCGAAAGCCAGGGGAGCGAACGGG
rnacentral:rRNA from 1 species